rfam:Triticum aestivum genome assembly, contig: Triticum_aestivum_CS42_TGACv1_scaffold_272530_3DS
UUCUUACUCCCUCCGUUCGAAAUUACUUGUUUAAAAAAUUGAAUGUAUUUAAAUAUAUUUUAAUUAUAGAUACAUCUAUUUUUAUGACAAGUAAUUCCGAACGGAGGGAGUACAAU